UGGGGAAUAUUGGACAAUGGGCGAAAGCCUGAUCCAGCAAUGCCGCGUGAGUGAUGAUGGCCUUAGGGUUGUAAAGCUCUUUUACCCGGGAUAAUAAUGACAGUACCGGGAGAAUAAGCUCCGGCUAACUCCGUGCCAGCAGCCGCGGUAAUACGGAGGGAGCUAGCGUUGCUCGGAAUUACUGGGCGUAAAGCGCACGUAGGCGGUCUUUUAAGUCGGGGGUGAAAUCCUGGAGCUCAACUCCAGAACUGCCUUCGAUACUGGAAGACUUGAGUCCGGGAGAGGUGAGUGGAACUGCGAGUGUAGAGGUGAAAUUCGUAGAUAUUCGCAAGAACACCAGUGGCGAAGGCGGCUCACUGGCCCGGUACUGACGCUGAGGUGCGAAAGCGUGGGGAGCAAAC
rnacentral:rRNA from 1 species